UCUAUACUUUUAUUAAUUCCACUCUUUAGAUCAUACUAUUUAACCAACCAUCUACUCAACCCUAGAGGAUCACCACUAAACCCUAGGUGCCCUGCAAUUUUUUAUCCAAGGGCUAAAAAUACGAUAGCAAAGAAAAGUCAAAUACUAUAAAUAAUAUUCCAACCCAACUCUAUAUAUAUAGUAGGACUACUAUACUUUUAUGAGUAUAAAAUCCUUUAUAUGCAUAAAUUGUUUUCGAUAAUGAAGCUUUUGAAUUGGCAAUUUACUCCGUUAAAUAUGAUCUAGAAUAUUUAAAAUUUUUUAAUAAAAAUUUCGUAAUUAUUCGAAAUCAUAAUA
rnacentral:lncRNA from 1 species